rnacentral:lncRNA from 1 species
GGUGAACCCUGAAAUGUAGUCUCCUCUUAAAGUUAUCAGCAGGAAUCAGGGUAGGAUUCCUUCUGGGAUUCUCCAUUCUCCAUUCUCCAGGGCUUAUUCUUGAGCUAACUGUAAUUUUGCAUCUUGAGCAUGAUGACGUUGUGUGUGUUGCUAAGAUCCAACUCCCCAAGAAGAGAAUUGGGCACUUGACUCUAUGAGGUGGCCUGUAAACUCUGAAAUCUUUGCUCUCCACAAUCACUCAAAAGCAGAUUGAUGAAGACUCUGCCAUCUUCAAGGCAGAUGGUUGAAGAUGGUUCCCAAGGUCACCAUGGCCCGUGAUGUGAAGCCAGAAAAGGAGCAGAGUACAGAUGCCUGGAUCUCCCACUCACCAAAAUCUUCUUCAAUCAGACUCUCUUUCUUGGAUUUCAUGGGUGGAAAGACCCUGGCCAGCUCCCUGGGGUGGUUCAUCACACCCAAGUCUUUCCUGAUGAACUUGCCUCAAGUCUUUGAAGACACAUUUAACACAUCACAUCACCCUUGUUAUACUGUGCUAAUGCUUGACUGCUGAGAAAUCUUGAUGCUGGAUGAUCUCACAUUCUACUUUCUUCAAGAAUCUUCACAAACUUAAACAAUUGGGAAUGGGUGUGUGUGUGUGUGUGUGUGUGUGUGUGUGUGUGUGUGUGUGUCUAUGUAUGUCCUUUCUUCCUCUGGCAAUCAUGAGCCUAUUUCCCAGAGCCCAUUGAAGUACCUACUACAUUCCCAUAGUAACUAUAUUUCCAGAAUGUUCCUGGUCCAAAUCAGAUUUGAGAUUGCCUCUGGUUCAUCCCUACACGGCUCCUGCCUUUGGUAGAGGUGCUCUGGGCAAUAUGAUGCUCAACAAAUAUUAUCUCCCUAUGCCUAAAGCCCAAAAUCACCACUGCCAUUCUAAGUUGUCAAUAUAACAUGUAAGAAACAUUCAUUAAAUGUUGUAAGUUGAAAGUGUUUAUUUACCUCCACUGUGUGCCAAAUGCCACAAAAUUUAUAGUAUGGAGAAAAAAUACAUAAAUCCUUG